GAUGAACGCUAGCGGACAGGCUUAACACAUGCAAGUCGAGGGGCAGCGGGGACGAAGCUUGCUUUCGCCCGCCGGCGACCGGCGCACGGGUGAGUAACACGUAUGCAACCUGCCCGCAGCAGGGGGAUAAGCCGGAGAAAUCCGGUCUAAUACCGCGUAAUCCCACGAAGGCAUCCGAAUGGGAUUAAAGAUUUAUCGGUGAUGGAUGGGGGAUGCGUCUGAUUAGCUUGUUGGCGGGGUAACGGCCCACCAAGGCAACGAUCAGUAGGGGUUCUGAGAGGAAGGUCCCCCACAUUGGAACUGAGACACGGUCCAAACUCCUACGGGAGGCAGCAGUGAGGAAUAUUGGUCAAUGGGCGAGAGCCUGAACCAGCCAAGUAGCGUGCAGGAAGACGGCCCUACGGGUUGUAAACUGCUUUUAUGAAGGAAUAAAGUCACCCACGUGUGGGUGUUUGCAUGUACUUUAUGAAUAAGGACCGGCUAAUUCCGUG
rnacentral:rRNA from 1 species